CGCUGGCGGCGUGCCUAACACAUGCAAGUCGAGCGCGAAAAGGGCAACCUGAGUAGCGCGGCGCACGGGUGCGUAACACGUGGGUAAUCUGCCCUUAAGUGUGGGAUAACCUUUGGAAACUUAGGCUAAUACCGCAUAAGCUCACGGUGACUUCGGUCGCUGGGAGAAAAGUAGGCCACUAUUUAUAAGCUUACUCUUAAGGAUGAGCCCGCGGCCCAUCAGCUAGUUGGCGGGGUAAUGGCCCACCAAGGCUACGACGGGUAGCUGGUCUGAGAGGACGAUCAGCCACACUGGAACUGAGACACGGUCCAGACUCCUACGGGAGGCAGCAGUGGGGAAUUUUCCACAAUGGGCGAAAGCCUGAUGGAGCAACGCCGCGUGUGUGAUGAAGGUCUUCGGAUUGUAAAGCACUUUCGACCGGGACGAAAAUCGGUUGGCUAACAUCCAACCGCCUGACGGUACCGGGAGAAGAAGCACCGGCUAACUCUGUG
rnacentral:rRNA from 1 species